UUUGAAGCAGGUGCACGGACUAUGACAGC
rnacentral:piRNA from 1 species